rnacentral:rRNA from 1 species
GCACUCUCCCUCGAUCGGGCCAGCAUCGGUUCGGGCGGCCGGAUAAAGGCUUCGGGAACGUAGCUCCUCUCGGGGAGUGUUAUAGCCCGGGGUGUAAUGCGGCCAGCCUGGACCGAGGACCGCGCUUUUGCUAGGAUGCUGGCGUAAUGGUUGCCAGCGACCCGUCUUGAAACACGGACCAAGGAGUCGACCAACCGUGCGAGUGUUUGGGUGUCAAACCCGUGCGCGUAAUGAAAGUGAACGGAGGUGAGAACCCCUUACGGGGCGCAUCAUCGACCGAUCCUGAUGUCUUCGGAUGGAUUUGAGUAAGAGCACAGCUGGUCGGACCCGAAAGAUGGUGAUCUAUACGUGAAUAGGGUGAAGCCAGAGGAAACUCUGGUGGAGGCUCGCAGCGGUUCUGACGUGCAAAUCGAUCGUCAAAUUUGCGUAUAGGGGCGAAAGACUAAUCGAACCAUUGAAUUUACAAGUUGGAAUUCAAGUUGCUAGGUGGUUAAUUGCAGCCUUCGUGCUGCCAGUUCCCCGGGGUGUACUCCCCGGGGGGCGACAUCGCUGUCUGCGUGGAUCCCUCUUCUUCUUCCCCCCGGGGGAGAGGUUGCGGGAAACACGGCGCGGUUCAAUCCGUUCACAGACCAAGCGGCGAUGGCCCGGGGGUAUUCUCCCCGGGUUGAGAUAUGGCCGGCCCUCCCCCUAGCGGGG